rnacentral:rRNA from 1 species
UCCUACAGACCUAAAUAUCUUAAAGAUACCAGAUCCCCAUCUGAUCUUGGAAGCUGAGCAAGGUCAUUCUUGGUUAGUACUUGGAUGGAAGACCAAGGAAUACCAAAUGCUGUAUUUC